rnacentral:rRNA from 1 species
GAUGAACGCUGGCGGCGUGCCUAAUACAUGCAAGUCGAGCGAACAGACGAGGAGCUUGCUCCUCUGACGUUAGCGGCGGACGGGUGAGUAACACGUGGAUAACCUACCUAUAAGACUGGGAUAACUUCGGGAAACCGGAGCUAAUACCGGAUAAUAUAUUGAACCGCAUGGUUCAAUAGUGAAAGACGGUUUUGCUGUUACUUAUAGAUGGAUCCGCGCCGCAUUAGCUAGUUGGUAAGGUAACGGCUUACCAAGGCGACGAUGCGUAGCCGACCUGAGAGGGUGAUCGGCCACACUGGAACUGAGACACGGUCCAGACUCCUACGGGAGGCAGCAGUAGGGAAUCUUCCGCAAUGGGCGAAAGCCUGACGGAGCAACGCCGCGUGAGUGAUGAAGGUCUUCGGAUCGUAAAACUCUGUUAUUAGGGAAGAACAAAUGUGUAAGUAACUAUGCACGUCUUGACGGUACCUAAUCAGAAAGCCACGGCUAACUACGU